GUGGGGAAUAUUGGACAAUGGGCGCAAGCCUGAUCCAGCCAUGCCGCGUGAGUGAUGAAGGCCUUAGGGUUGUAAAGCUCUUUCACCGAUGAAGAUAAUGACGGUAGUCGGAGAAGAAGCCCCGGCUAACUUCGUGCCAGCAGCCGCGGUAAUACGAAGGGGGCUAGCGUUGUUCGGAAUUACUGGGCGUAAAGCGCACGUAGGCGGAUAUUUAAGUCAGGGGUGAAAUCCCGCAGCUCAACUGCGGAACUGCCUUUGAUACUGGGUAUCUUGAGUAUGGAAGAGGUAAGUGGAAUUCCGAGUGUAGAGGUGAAAUUCGUAGAUAUUCGGAGGAACACCAGUGGCGAAGGCGGCUUACUGGUCCAUUACUGACGCUGAGGUGCGAAAGCGUGGGGAGCAAACAGGAUUAGAAACCCGAGUAGUCC
rnacentral:rRNA from 1 species